AGAGUUUGAUCCUGGCUCAGAUUGAACGCUGGCGGUAUGCUUAACACAUGCAAGUCGAACGGAAACGAAACUAGCUUGCUAGUAGGCGUCGAGUGGCGGACGGGUGAGUAACGCGUAGGAAUCUGCCUGAUAGUGGGGGAUAGCCCGAAGAAAUUCGGAUUAAUACCGCAUAAUCUAUUCGUAGUAAAGUGGGGGACUUUCGAGCCUCACGCUAUCAGAUGAGCCUGCGUAAGAUUAGCUUGUUGGUAGGGUAAAAGCCUACCAAGGCAACGAUCUUUAGCUGGUCUGAGAGGAUGAUCAGCCACAUCGGGACUGAGACACGGCCCGAACUCCUACGGGAGGCAGCAGUGGGGAAUAUUGGACAAUGGGGGCAACCCUGAUCCAGCAAUACCGCGUGUGUGAAGAAGGCCUGAGGGUUGUAAAGCACUUUCAAUUGUGAAGAAAAGUUAAUGGUUAAUAACCGUUGACCUUGACGUUAACUUUAGAAGAAGCACCGGCUAACUCCGUGCCAGCAGCCGCGGUAAUACGGAGGGUGCAAGCGUUAAUCGGAAUUACUGGGCGUAAAGCGUGCGUAGGCGGUUUAUUAAGUCAGAUGUGAAAGCCCCGGGCUUAACCUGGGAACUGCAUUUGAAACUGGUCAACUAGAGUAUGGUAGAGGAAAGUGGAAUUUCUGGUGUAGCGGUGAAAUGCGUAGAUAUCAGAAGGAACAUCAAUGGCGAAGGCAGCUUUCUGGACCAAUACUGACGCUGAGGUACGAAAGCGUGGGUAGCAAACAGGAUUAGAUACCCUGGUAGUCCACGCCGUAAACGAUGAUAACUAGCCGUUGGGGGGAUUUACCCUUUAGUGGCGAAGCUAACGCGUUAAGUUAUCCGCCUGGGGAGUACGGCCGCAAGGCUAAAACUCAAAGGAAUUGACGGGGACCCGCACAAGCGGUGGAGCAUGUGGUUUAAUUCGAUGCAACGCGAAGAACCUUACCUGGUCUUGACAUCCUGCGAACUUUCUAGAAAUAGAUUGGUGCCUUCGGGAACGCAGUGACAGGUGCUGCAUGGCUGUCGUCAGCUCGUGUCGUGAGAUGUUGGGUUAAGUCCCGUAACGAGCGCAACCCCUAUCCUUAUUUGCCAGCACAUUAUGGUGGGAACUAUAAGGAGACUGCCGGUGAUAAACCGGAGGAAGGCGGGGACGACGUCAAGUCAUCAUGGCCCUUACGACCAGGGCUACACACGUGCUACAAUGGGAAGGACAAAGAGCCGCGAAGCCGCGAGGUGUAGCUAAUCUCAUAAAUCUUUUCGUAGUCCGGAUUGGAGUCUGCAACUCGACUCCAUGAAGUCGGAAUCGCUAGUAAUCGUAGAUCAGAAUGCUACGGUGAAUACGUUCCCGGGUCUUGUACACACCGCCCGUCAUACCAUGGGAGUGGGUUGCACCAGAAGUGGCUAGUCUAACUUAGUGAGGACGGUCACCACGGUGUGAUUCAUGACUGGGGUAAAGUCGUAACAAGGUAACC
rnacentral:rRNA from 1 species